rnacentral:rRNA from 1 species
GACGAACGCUGGCGGCGUGCUUAACACAUGCAAGUCGAACGGAAAGGCCCUGCUUUUGUGGGAUGCUCGAGUGGCGAACGGGUGAGUAACACGUGAGUAACCUGCCCUUGACUUUGGGAUAACUUCAGGAAACAGGGGCUAAUAACGGAUAGGAGAUCCUGCUGCAUGGGGGGGGUUGGAAAGAUUCGGCGGUUGGGGAUGGACUCGCGGCUUAGCAGCUUGUUGGUGGGGUAGUGGCUUACCCAGGCUUUGACGGGUAGACGGCCUGAGAGGGUGACCGGCCCCAUUGGGACUGGGGUACGGCCCAGACUCCUACUGGAGGCAGCGGUGGGGAAUAUUGCACAAUGGGCGGCAGCCUGAUGCAGCAACGCCGCGUGCGGGAUGACGGCCUUCGGGUUGUAAACCGCUUUCGCCUGUGACGCUGCGUGAGUGACGGUAAUUGGUCAAGAAGCACCGGCUAACUACGUG